rnacentral:rRNA from 1 species
AAAAAAAAACACGUGAGUAACCUGCCCUUGCCUUUGGUAUAACUUCAGGAAACUGGGGCUAAUACCGGAUAGGAGCUCCUGCUGCAUGGUGGGGGUUGUAAAGUUUCGGCGGUUGGGGAUUGACUCUCUGCUUAUCAGCUUGUUGUUGGGGUAGUUGCUUACCAAGGCUUUGACGGGUAGCCGGCCUGAGAGGGUGACCGGCAAGAGUGGGACUGAGAUAAGGCCGAGACUCCUACGGGAGGUAGCAGUGGGGAAUAUUGCACAAUGGGCGGAAGCCUGAUGCAGCAACUUUUUUUUUUU